UAACGGUCCUAAGGUAGCGAAAUUCCUUGUCGGGUAAGUUCCGACCUGCACGAAUGGCGUAAUGAUGGCCAGGCUGUCUCCACCCGAGACUCAGUGAAAUUGAACUCGCUGUGAAGAUGCAGUGUACCCGCGGCAAGACGGAAAGACCCCGUGAACCUUUACUAUAGCUUGACACUGAACAUUGAGCCUUGAUGUGUAGGAUAGGUGGGAGGCUUUGAAGUGUGGACGCCAGUCUGCAUGGAGCCGACCUUGAAAUACCACCCUUUAAUGUUUGAUGUUCUAACGUUGACCCGUAAUCCGGGUUGCGGACAGUGUCUGGUGGGUAGUUUGACUGGGGCGGUCUCCUCCUAAAGAGUAACGGAGGAGCACGAAGGUUGGCUAAUCCUGGUCGGACAUCAGGAGGUUAGUGCAAUGGCAUAAGCCAGCUUGACUGCGAGCGUGACGGCGCGAGCAGGUGCGAAAGCAGGUCAUAGUGAUCCGGUGGUUCUGAAUGGAAGGGCCAUCGCUCAACGGAUAAAAGGUACUCCGGGGAUAACAGGCUGAUACCGCCCAAGAGUUCAUAUCGACGGCGGUGUUUGGCACCUCGAUGUCGGCUCAUCACAUCCUGGGGCUGAAGUAGGUCCCAAGGGUAUGGCUGUUCGCCAUUUAAAGUGGUACGCGAGCUGGGUUUAGAACGUCGUGAGACAGUUCGGUCCCUAUCUGCCGUGGGCGCUGGAGAACUGAGGGGGGCUGCUCCUAGUACGAGAGGACCGGAGUGGACGCAUCACUGGUGUUCGGGUUGUCAUGCCAAUGGCACUGCCCGGUAGCUAAAUGCGGAAGAGAUAAGUGCUGAAAGCAUCUAAGCACGAAACUUGCCCCGAGAUGAGUUCUCCCUGACUCCUUGAGAGUCCUGAAGGAACGUUGAAGACGACGACGUUGAUAGGCCGGGUGUGUAAGCGCAGCGAUGCGUUGAGCUAACCGGUACUAAUGAACCGUGAGGCUUAACCUU
rnacentral:rRNA from 2 species